CCAAUAGCGUAUAUUAAAGUUGUUGCAGUUAAAAAGCUCGUAGUUGAAUUUCGGGGUUAGUAGGUUGGUCAUGCCUCUGGUAUGUACUGGUCUCACUGAUUCCUCCUUCCUGAUGAGCCGUAAUGCCAUUAAUUUGGUGUUGCGGGGAAUUUGGACUGUUACUUUGAAAAAAUUAGAGUGUUUAAAGCAAGCUAACGCUUGAAUACAUUAGCAUGGAAUAAUGAAAUAGGACGUUCGAUCCUAUUUUGUUGGUUUCUAGGAUUGACGUAAUGAUUAAUAGGGAUAGUUGGGGGCAUUAGUAUUCAAUUGUCAGAGGUGAAAUUCUUGGAUUUAUUGAAGACUGACUACUGCGAAAGCAUUUGCCAAGGAUGUUUUCAUUAAUCAAGAACGAAAGUUAGGGGAUCGAAGACGAUCAGAUACCGUCGUAGUCUUAACCAUAAACUAUGCCGACUAGGGAUCGGAUGAUGUUAAUUUUUUAAUGACUCAUUCGGCGCCUUACG
rnacentral:rRNA from 1 species